CGUAGGUGGCAAGCGUUGUCCGGAAUUAUUGGGCGUAAAGCGCGCGCAGGCGGUUCCUUAGGUCUGAUGUGAAAGCCCCCGGCUCAACCGGGGAAGGUCAUUGGAAACUGGGGAACUUGAGUGCAGAAGAGAAGAGCGGAAUUCCACGUGUAGCGGUGAAAUGCGUAGAGAUGUGGAGGAACACCAGUGGCGAAGGCGGCUCUUUGGUCUGUAACUGACGCUGAGGCGCGAAAGCGUGGGGAGCAAACAGGAUUAGAUACCCUGGUAGUCCACGCCGUAAACGAUGAGUGCUAAGUGUUAGAGGGUUUCCGCCCUUUAGUGCUGCAGCUAACGCAUUAAGCACUCCGCCUGGGGAGUACGGCCGCAAGGCUG
rnacentral:rRNA from 1 species